rnacentral:rRNA from 1 species
CUACGGGGCGCAGCAGUGAGGAAUUUUGCGCAAUGGGCGAAAGCCUGACGCAGCAACGCCGCGUGAGUGAUGAAGGAUUUCGGUUCGUAAAGCUCUGUCAAGUGGGAAGAAGUUAUCAUGUAUAAAUAGUGCAUGGUAUUGACGGUACCACUGAAGGAAGCACCGGCUAACUCCGUGCCAGCAGCCGUCGGUAAUACGGAGGGUGCAAGCGUUAUUCGGAUUUACUGGGCGUAAAGGGCGCGCAGGCGGCCUGAUAAGUCAGAUGUGAAAGCCCGGGGCUCAACCCCGGAAGUGCAUUUGAAACUGUCAGGCUUGAGUAUGGUAGAGGGAAGUGGAAUUCCAGGUGUAGCGGUGAAAUGCGUAGAUAUCUGGAGGAACACCGGUGGCGAAGGCGACUUCCUGGACCAAUACUGACGCUGAGGCGCGAAGGUGUGGGUAGCAAACAGGAUUAGAUACCCGCGUAGUC